rnacentral:rRNA from 1 species
GAUGAACGCUGGCGGCGUGCCUAAUACAUGCAAGUCGAGCGAACAGACGAGGAGCUUGCUCCUCUGACGUUAGCGGCGGACGGGUGAGUAACACGUGGAUAACCUACCUAUAAGACUGGGAUAACUUCGGGAAACCGGAGCUAAUACCGGAUAAUAUAUUGAACCGCAUGGUUCAAUAGUGAAAGACGGUUUUGCUGUCACUUAUAGAUGGAUCCGCGCCGCAUUAGCUAGUUGGUAAGGUAACGGCUUACCAAGGCAACGAUGCGUAGCCGACCUGAGAGGGUGAUCGGCCACACUGGAACUGAGACACGGUCCAGACUCCUACGGGAGGCAGCAGUAGGGAAUCUUCCGCAAUGGGCGAAAGCCUGACGGAGCAACGCCGCGUGAGUGAUGAAGGUCUUCGGAUCGUGAAACUCUGUUAUUAGGGAAGAACAAAUGUGUAAGUAACUAUGCACGUCUUGACGGUACCUAAUCAGAAGGCCACGGCUAACUACGUG